GCCGUUUUACUUUCGUCCGAGUAGGAGAGUGAGAGUGCACGCUGCUGAACUAAUUCGUUGCUUAUUAUUAUAAUUAUUAUUCAACGCUUCUUAGCUCAGCGAUCAAAGGUCAUCAUGCACAAAAACGUUGUGUUUUUACCCAGGAAGAGUUAAGGUUGUGUUCCACUGGGAGAUCUCCUUCAGGAGCCAACUAAGGAGGCCAGGCUGAUCAAAAAUAACCCAUCUCUGCGGGAGAAGUCUGCACCCGUGAAGGAGGAGCUUGUCAGACAAAAUGCUCUGACUGUGGUCCAUGAGAGAGUCUCGGACAAUCUCAGACAGGAGUGAAGUUUUUGGUGAAUACAUCCUGCAGUUUGGCAAAUACAAGGGGAAGUUCUUCCCCUUGUCCCAGGGACACGGAUGUACAAACUGCAGCAAUAUCUGCAGAAUCGGCAGCAGUCAGCCCGACUGCCCGUGCUUGCCUCAAGUGCCACCUCUGAGCCCAUGGAGAUGGAUGAAGAUGAUGAGUUGGAGAGUGCAAUGCUGAACAUCUCCGCUUCCAAGCUACGGGUGCAGCAUAAUUGCUAAUAGAGGAAUGGUACUCUGUUCAGGAGACAGCAGCAUCAGAGACAGCUCUCCAGCGUGUAGGACACUUACUUUUGAGGAAUGUGGCAAAGAUGAAAGUCUCUCAUCUUCAGAGACCACUUCACAUAGUGUCCCACGCACAGCUAAAGCAUCACAUGAGCCAUUCCCCCCUUGGUUCUUUGGUGUGCAGCCCACUGCCUCUGCAACAGACAGGUCAAAUCACAAUCAGGCACAUCAGCCCUUCCUAAGAUGCCCUCCUCCACACGCUCCUGGCUAUGAUCAUGAUGUCCGCCAGUGGAAGUGUUCCCAUCAGGAAAGGAUCUGGAUGAAGACAGAGCUGGAAUCCAUGAGUCUAUGGCUAGGGUUGCCUCCUGUGAGAUAUAUCUUUUGCUUACAUCUUUCACUUGUGGUGAAUAUUUAACUAAUGUAUUUUUUUCUACUUUAUUUUACAGUGUAAUGAAGUUUAUAUUAAUAUGUGUGUGUGUAUAUAUAUAUAUAUAUAUCAGGGGCGUUUCCUCUGAGGAGGCAAGGGAGGCAGUGUCUCCUCAAAAAAUUGGAUGAGAAAAUAAUCGAUAUUGCAAAAAUAAAACGACGCAAAUAUUACUAAAAAUGACAUUAACAGUAUAAAAGUCACUCGUUUUUAUAAAGUAACACUGUCCAACAGCGACACCCACAGGAAAAGUUACAGCGGAGGCUCGCCUCCCCUCAGCCCAUUGACUUAUAACAGAGACCCCAUAACGUGCCGUGGGUUUAGUGGGGGGGUCAUUGAGGAUGGGGGAAAGUCACGUGAGAGGAGGCAAUGCCUCCAUCGCGCUAUUAUUGGAUAUGAUCGGUUUUGAUUGGAUGCGAUCGGUUAUGAUUGGAGAUGAUCGGUUAUGAUUGGAGAUGAUCGGUUAUGAUUGGAUGUGAUAGGUUAUGAUUGAAGAUGAUCGGUUAUGAUUGGAUAUGAUAGGUUAUGAUUGGAUAUGAUCGGUUAUGAUUGGAGAUGAUCGGUUAUGAUUGGAUGUGAUAGGUUAUGAUUGGAUAUGAUCGGUUAUGAUUGGAUGUGAUAGGUUAUGAUUGAAGAUGAUCGGUUAUGAUUGGAUAUGAUCGGUUAUGAUUGGAUGUGAUAGGUUAUGAUUGGAGAUGAUAGGUUAUGAUUGGAGAUGAUCGGUUAUGAUUGGAUGUGAUAGGUUAUGAUUGGAGAUGAUCGGUUAUGAUUGGAUGUGAUAGGUUAUGAUCGGAUAUGAUCGGUUAUGAUUGGAUAUGAUCGGUUAUGAUUGGGUGUUAUAGGUUCGUUUGAUAAAUCCCGCCUCUUGUUUUCGUGCGAGCUCUUGGCCUGAAUGGACAAAAUGAUGGCGUUACUGACUAAUUAUAAAGUAAGUAAACAACUCACCCGCUUAGAUAUCACUGCUUUGUGUCAUGUCAAAAAUGAAAUUUUGAAAUGGCUGAAAACGUGAUUAGUUUGUCUGUGUUUGUGUUUACAGAGCUUUUAUGACGACGACCCGAAAAUAAGUUGACUAUUAAAAAGAACAGCUGAACAUCAGUUCACAAAUAAAAAAAAUAUUAGUAACACUUUACAGUAAGGUGUCAUUUGUUAACAUUAGAUAAUGUGUUAACUAACAUGAACAAACAAUGAACAUUUAUUACAGUAUUUAUUAAUCUUUGUUAACGUUAGUUAAUAAAAAAUACAGUUGUUCAUUGCUGAUUCAUGUUAGUUCACAGUGCAUUAACUAAUGUUAACAAACACGUUUGAUUUUAAUAAUGCAUUAGUAAAUGUUGAAAAUAAUAUUAAAUAAGAUUAAUAAAUGCUGUAGAAGUAUUGUUCAUUCUUAGUUCAUGUUAACUAAAGUAGUUAACUAAUGGUAACUAAUGAAACCUUAUUGUAAAGUGUUUCCAAAAUAUUGUUCAAAUUGUUAAUGCAAUAAUUGUUACUUUAGUUAUUAUUUUGGAAUAAAUGUAAAAAUGCAUAAAACCACUAUGAAAUGUAUAAUUAGUAUAAAAUAAAAAAUGAAAUAAAAAAAUAAUAAUAAAAUACAAAGUAGAAUUAUAUUUGUUCUCUCUUUUUUAUGUAAUUUAUAUAUAUAUAUA